GGUUAAGCGACUAAGCGUACACGGUGGAUGCCUAGGCAGUCAGAGGCGAUGAAGGGCGUGCUAAUCUGCGAAAAGCGUCGGUAAGGUGAUAUGAACCGUUAUAACCGACGAUACCCGAAUGGGGAAACCCAGUGCAAUUCGUUGCACUAUUGCAUGGUGAAUACAUAGCCAUGCAAGGCGAACCGGGGGAACUGAAACAUCUAAGUACCCCGAGGAAAAGAAAUCAACCGAGAUUCCCCUAGUAGCGGCGAGCGAACGGGGAGGAGCCCAGAGUCUGAAUCAGUUUGUGUGUUAGUGGAAGCGUCUGGAAAGUCGCAGGGUACAGGGUGAUACUCCCGUACACAAAAACACACUUGCUGUGAACUCGAUGAGUAGGGCGGGACACGUGACAUCCUGUCUGAAUAUGGGGGGACCAUCCUCCAAGGCUAAAUACUCCUGACUGACCGAUAGUGAACCAGUACCGUGAGGGAAAGGCGAAAAGAACCCCGGCGAGGGGAGUGAAAUAGAACCUGAAACCGUGUACGUACAAGCAGUGGGAGCACCUUCGUGGUGUGACUGCGUACCUUUUGUAUAAUGGGUCAGCGACUUAUAUUUUGUAGCAAGGUUAACCGAAUAGGGGAGCCGUAGGGAAACCGAGUCUUAACUGGGCGUCUAGUUGCAAGGUAUAGACCCGAAACCCGGUGAUCUAGCCAUGGGCAGGUUGAAGGUUGGGUAACACUAACUGGAGGACCGAACCGACUAAUGUUGAAAAAUUAGCGGAUGACUUGUGGCUGGGGGUGAAAGGCCAAUCAAACCGGGAGAUAGCUGGUUCUCCCCGAAAGCUAUUUAGGUAGCGCCUCGUGAACUCAUCUUCGGGGGUAGAGCACUGUUUCGGCUAGGGGGCCAUCCCGGCUUACCAAACCGAUGCAAACUCCGAAUACCGAAGAAUGUUAUCACGGGAGACACACGGCGGGUGCUAACGUCCGUCGUGAAGAGGGAAACAACCCAGACCGCCAGCUAAGGUCCCAAAGUCAUGGUUAAGUGGGAAACGAUGUGGGAAGGCAUAGACAGCCAGGAUGUUGGCUUAGAAGCAGCCAUCAUUUAAAGAAAGCGUAAUAGCUCACUGGUCGAGUCGGCCUGCGCGGAAGAUGUAACGGGGCUAAACCAUGCACCGAAGCUGCGGCAGCGACACUCAGGUGUUGUUGGGUAGGGGAGCGUUCUGUAAGCCGUUGAAGGUGACCUGUGAGGGUUGCUGGAGGUAUCAGAAGUGCGAAUGCUGACAUAAGUAACGAUAAUGCGGGUGAAAAACCCGCACGCCGGAAGACCAAGGGUUCCUGUCCAACGUUAAUCGGGGCAGGGUGAGUCGACCCCUAAGGCGAGGCUGAAAAGCGUAGUCGAUGGGAAACAGGUUAAUAUUCCUGUACUUGGUGUUACUGCGAAGGGGGGACGGAGAAGGCUAGGCUAGCCGGGCGACGGUUGUCCCGGUUUAAGCAUGUAGGCGGAG
rnacentral:rRNA from 1 species